CGGCGAAGUUAUUACCAGGGCGGCCAUAUCAAAGCAGGAUGUGAUUUUCUUCUGGCUUAUUGUCAGACGGGACCAACUGUGGUCCUUCAUACACGCGUUUUUACCUGGUCCUCAGCCUACCUGAGGUGGGGCCUCGGACCUACAUCAUGAGGAGCAGUCACAUUGGCUACGUUUUAUACAUCCUGGGCACGAUUGUUAUGGUGACAGCUGGAUGGCACGACUUCGACAACAAGCCGUACGACUGUUGGCCCGCGGACGCCGAUGCACAAAAACCAAAUACGAUAAAAUGCGAUGGACUGGAGAUGGCUUGGAUCAAGGCUCCACCAGACAAGAUCACAGCCGGACACGGCUUCAACGUGACGU